UUUAAAUAUCAUCACAAAAUACAUUACAUCAUAAAAUCUGUCUUGCUCAGUCUUGUCAGUGCUACAGAUCUGAAUUAGAGGUAACAUUUAUGACAGUGAUGAACUGUAGGGGGACCUACACUUCCACUGAUACUCCCACCUACACAGUGUUAAUGCAGAGACACCUGCAACUCUUCAUGUCUCUGUAACUAUGAGACUCUGGCAGUCUCUGUCUGUCAGAACAUGGAUAUCAUCAAACAAGAUCUCCUCAUAUUGUCAGUGUUUUUGUUGUGGAUUACAGGUCUUACUGAUGGGAGUGAUGUCACCCAGACUGACAUACUGUGGAAACACCAGGGUGAAAAUGCAACAAUAAACUGCAGCCACACAAAGGAUGCUAACCAUUUCCAGAUGUACUGGUACAGACAGCGGCCAGGAGAAGCAAUGAAACAAAUAGUGUUCACAACAACAGCCAGCAAAGAUCACGACUUUGGAGAAUUCAGCAAAGAGAAAUUCUCAGCCACCAAGCCUGACGCUCACAGUGGGACAUUCACUGUGAAGAAUCUGGUGCCAGAAGAUAAAGGCUUGUACUUCUGUGCUGUUAGUGAGCACAGUGAUACAAACACACUCAAUAUCUGAACAAAAACCCCAGUGCACUGUUAGCACACAUCUGUCCCACCAUCUCACGUACUGUAGGGGGACCUCAAGUACCACAAAUACUCAGUCACUUUGAUUCACCAAGCAAAUUGUGAUACAGCAGCCAACAGGAUCAGAAAACGUCACACGCUGCAGAGACACUCCCACCUGCAACUCUUCAUCUCUCUGUAACUACACUAACAGAUUUAUGUGAGUCUCCAAACACCAGAAC